rnacentral:rRNA from 1 species
ACGAACGCUGGCGGCUGCUUAACACAUGCAAGUCGAACGGAGUGGCGAACGGGUGAGUAACGCGUGAGCAACCUGCCUAUGACAGUGGGAUAGCCUCGGGAAACCGGGAUUAAUACCGCAUAGUCAUAGAUGGGCUCGCGUCUGAUUAGCUAGUUGGUGAGAUAACAGCUCACCAAGGCGACGAUCAGUAGCCGGUCUGAGAGGAUGAACGGCCACAUUGGAACUGAGACACGGUCCAAACUCCUACGGGAGGCAGCAGUGGGGAAUAUUGCACAAUGGGGGAAACCCUGAUGCAGCGACGCCGCGUGAACGAAGAAGGUAUUCGUAUCGUAAAGUUCUGUCCUAUGGGAAGCAGUACCAUAGAAGAAAGCUCCGGCUAAAUACGUGCCAGCAGCCGCGGUAAUUC